GCACUUACAACUGUUUGCAGAGGAAACUGAGACUUUGUAACUACAUCUCAGUCUCAUCUGCAAAGAAGUAAGUGCUUUG
rnacentral:pre_miRNA from 2 species